GCCGUACCGUUAACAUCGUCGUCUUAUUUCUGCGCGUCGCGAAAUUUUCUUCCCGUUUUCAACGUGCACCGUGCUUUUUCUCGAUCCUGCCUUCGUUUUCAACCACCAUCCACCCCCACACGCUUCGAUUCGUGCUUUCCCUGCAUUCCUGUUGGUGAAGAUUAACCCGGUUUCGAGACCGGCGAGGCAAUUUCACGCGGCGCGAGAUUCAAAUCUUGUACCCUUCGAGUGAUUGAAAUUGAAGAUGGCGCGAUUCGAGGACGGAGUGGAGAGAGAGAGAGAGAGAGUGUGUGUCAAGCGCACACAGAUAUCCGCUUGAUCCACCACCACCCUUGACCACAGCCACUGAUCGGCCUAUCAUUUUCGAUCGUGAACAGGGGGGAAGGAAGCGUGCUCGCGAUCGCAAAAUCGUAAUUGCGCGGCUGCGGCUGUGCCCAUCGUCGAACGAACAAUCGAGCGGAGGGAAUGAAGAUGGAACCGGGUUCCGGUAGAUACAACAGAUGUGGAUCAUUGGAUUUCUGCAAUACCAACCGAUCACUUCCUUUUGAAUCAGUGGUUCUCACUCCAUGAAGAGAGAAGAAGAUUGCUACUAUUUAUUUUAAUAUAAUUGCGUUAUCAAUUAUAUUUCAUAAGGAUAAUUAGAAUAAUUGCUGCAGGACAAAUUAUAACAAUUAUUUUUAAUUUUCCUUGCUUUGUAUGAUAAAAAGAAGAGAUAUUUUUAAAUAUCAAAAAAAAAAAAAAGGAUUGCAACAAUGAUA